AGGGGGGACCUGCGGAAGGAUCAUUACCGAGUGAGGGCCCUCUGGGUCCAACCUCCCACCCGUGUUUAUUUUACCUUGUUGCUUCGGCGGGCCCGCCUUAACUGGCCGCCGGGGGGCUUACGCCCCCGGGCCCGCGCCCGCCGAAGACACCCUCGAACUCUGUCUGAAGAUUGUAGUCUGAGUGAAAAUAUAAAUUAUUUAAAACUUUCAACAACGGAUCUCUUGGUUCCGGCAUCGAUGAAGAACGCAGCGAAAUGCGAUACGUAAUGUGAAUUGCAAAUUCAGUGAAUCAUCGAGUCUUUGAACGCACAUUGCGCCCCCUGGUAUUCCGGGGGGCAUGCCUGUCCGAGCGUCAUUUCUGCCCUCAAGCACGGCUUGUGUGUUGGGCCCCGUCCUCCGAUCCCGGGGGACGGGCCCGAAAGGCAGCGGCGGCACCGCGUCCGGUCCUCGAGCGUAUGGGGCUUUGUCACCCGCUCUGUAGGCCCGGCCGGCGCUUGCCGAUCAACCCAAAUUUUUAUCCAGGUUGACCUCGGAUCAGGUAGGGAUACCCGCUGAACUUAAGCAUAUCAAUAAGCCAGAGGAAUUACCGAGU
rnacentral:rRNA from 1 species